AAGUUUGGCUGCGAAAUGUUGUAAAAUGCGGAAAAUAUAGCCCUGCGAAAUUUGCAAAUUUUGUAUUAGUUUGUAUUACGCACGGGAAUUUGCACCACUUUCGGCCCAAAUGUGGUGUAUUUUCUCGCGCGUAAUACAAAUUAAUUCAAAUUAAUACAAAAUUUGCAAAUUUCGCUGGGCUAUAUUUUCCGCAUUUUACAACAUUUCGCGGCCAAACUU